CGUCUGUGUGCAGGGGACAAUUGCAUGGAGUCAAAGCCCAUUUCUGCUAGUCAGGUCAGCAGAGAAGAUAUUUUGUUUUCUGGAAUUCUGUAGGCCUGGGAGGCAUGAUCUGGUGUAGAACAAACCUGAGGAUCCAGAUUCAGCUGCACAAAUAGAUAGGACAAAAUUCCUUUUCACUGCAGUAUUGGGAGCCUGGAACUAGAGUUACCAACCCCUCUGCGUUAAAGAAGGAGCUGUCCUGAGGCUUCCAUCUCUACUGGGCUUGAGGCAAGAACAUUGUUAGGGACGGCCUGCUCUUGGCCUCUGUGCCCCAGGGAUUGCAAAUGCAUGUUCCUCAAAGGUAAGGGCUGUAUCAUUCGGCUUUCUUUGUAUUCACAGGUACAGCUUGUGCUAGGCAGCCGGUGUUCAAUAAAUAUCGUGCCUAAGGAUAAAGUGGCAUUGUCCUUAAUUUCCCCCACCAAACCACUAGGUGUCGCCUUCAUCUCAGGGAAACCAUGCCCGUCCUCGCCCUAUACACUCCCA
rnacentral:lncRNA from 1 species